ensembl:lncRNA
GUUGUUUUUCUGCUAAUGCAGCACUGUCCUCACAACCCCCUCCUGUAAGUUUUAGAGAAUAUAUACCCAUCCUCACAGCAAAUAUUUGGAAUCUCUUGAUGUGAGCUGCGUUGAGAGUUUGUCUCUGUCUCAAUAAAAGUUCACUGAUUCCCCAUCUGCUGCAGGUGUCCGGUUGUCUUCAUUCUCCGCCAGCCUGGAUCCGCUCCAGGGCAACUGGAACGGAGGGAGGAAAUCGGCCGUGGUCUGAGUGAACGGAGUUUGGACAAAAGCUGUGUACACACAAAAAACAAGGUUGUUGCUCUUUAACUCCUAGAACACGCCCUUGGCGAGGUGGGGGGAACUGGACCACCUUUCUGUGCCCCAUCAUCCUCUAUUAGACGACAUCCAAGCUAAGUAAACAUGUCUUGGCCCUUUCCCCCUGAAAUGACAGGCAGGCAAAGAUGUUGCGUCUUUGUUUGCUUCCUGGCCCUGGGUCUCAUUCCCAUUGGCAUAAUCCUGAUCUGUGAAGGGCCCCCGACACUUAUGACACCUUCAAGUUCAAAAGCUUCGCCCCCUUCUGACAGUCCCAAUCUGACAAAUGUAGCCCCUAGGGUCUUGCCCACCACUUCCUCUCCAGUUUUGCCCACGCCCGAUCCAUUUAGAAAGAAACGAGACACGGUUACCUCCUCGCCAACGGAUGAUGAAAACUCUGAUCGUGAGGGUGACGAACAUUAUCGUCUUUCUCUUGUUUAAAUUCUUCUAGAAUGGUUGUUUCUCUGUGGUGUUUUGUAUUAGGCUUGUUAUUAAUUGUUUCCCUCACCCACUUCCUCUUGAAGGAUAUAUCUGGUUGAACUGUGUCUGGUCGGGUUGUGAGGGUUAAGCGAUGUUCUCAGGGUCUCCGGACUUAAGCCUGAGCGAAUGUGUACUCCCACCAAUGGAUAUGAAUUGUUUUUUUUUUUCCACACCCCUUCCUCACGUUUUACCAUAUUCACUUUUGAAUGUCCUUAGCAGUUACCGUUCUGGGUUUAUUUUACGGUUGAUUUAUUCUUUCACAUUUUCACGUUUAUAUCUCUCAUUAUUAUAGUAGACUCUGUACUCUCCACAUUUUUAUCAUUACUUAUGCUUUUUGGUUGCUGAGUUACAGGAACUGUUAAUUUUGUGUCACUACCCUGGUUGCACUAACUCGUUGUAUCCGUGUGUGCAGGACAGCUGUUACUGCUUUCAUCGGGAACCGAGACUGCUUGCAGCCGACCCCUGGGCAGGGUGGUGCCUGGACUCUUUUCUCCUCAUCUGCAAUGACAGAUAAAGACAAAUGAAAAGACCCGAGGAGUUUUUCGAGCCAGG